rnacentral:rRNA from 1 species
UACGGAGGAUCCAAGCGUUAUCCGGAAUCAUUGGGUUUAAAGGGUCCGUAGGCGGUUUAAUAAGUCAGUGGUGAAAGCCCAUCGCUCAACGGUGGAACGGCCAUUGAUACUGUUAGACUUGAAUUAUUAGGAAGUAACUAGAAUAUGUAGUGUAGCGGUGAAAUGCUUAGAGAUUACAUGGAAUACCAAUUGCGAAGGCAGGUUACUACUAAUGGAUUGACGCUGAUGGACGAAAGCGUGGGGAGCGAACAGG